AGAUUGAACGCUGGCGGCAGGCCUAACACAUGCAAGUCGAGCGGUAGAGAGGUGCUUGCACCUCUUGAGAGCGGCGGACGGGUGAGUAAUGCCUAGGAAUCUGCCUAGUGGUGGGGGAUAACGUUCGGAAACGGACGCUAAUACCGCAUACGUCCUACGGGAGAAAGCGGGGGACCUUCGGGCCUCGCGCCAUUAGAUGAGCCUAGGUCGGAUUAGCUAGUUGGUGAGGUAAUGGCUCACCAAGGCGACGAUCCGUAACUGGUCUGAGAGGAUGAUCAGUCACACUGGAACUGAGACACGGUCCAGACUCCUACGGGAGCAGCAGUGGGGAAUUA
rnacentral:rRNA from 1 species